GGGAUGCUCAUGUUUAUUUUAAUUGGGUCUUAAUAAUGAUAAUGAGUCUUUAUUGUUCACAUAUACAUUACUGCACAGUGAAAUUCUUUUCUUCGCAUAACCCAGAAUGUUAGGAAGCUGGGGUCUGAGCACAGGGUCAGUCAUGAUACAGCGUCCCUGGAGCAGAGAGGGUUAAGGGCCUUGCUCAAGGGCCCAACAGUGGCAGCUUGGCAGUGCUGGGGCUUGAACCCCGACCUUCCCAUCAGUAACCCAGAGCCUUAAUGACCAAGCCACCACUGCCCCCAUGUUUCUCUGUAACAGUGAUCAAAAUGUAUCUAAGAUAAAUAUUUAAUUAAAUUCUAUGUAUUAAUUUAUUUAUUACAAAAACACUCAAGUUCAAAAUUCUGGCAUGAUCUGCUGCAAAUGGUGUGUAUCGAUCAUAAUCCUAAUGAGCAGGUUAAGUUUGCAGAUCUUUAUGGGGUCAUGACAGGUGCAAGUGCUUAAAGCCUGUAGGAGAAGGGUGUAAUGUGGUUAUGUUGUUCCACAGUGUCCUCCUGUGUGUGGUGGCUAAAGGACAUGGAAAAAGGACGAGGAGAGCAGAGGAGAUAAUGGAUGGUGUGCGAUCUGUUUGGCCUCCUGAUGCUGAUGGAUGCCUGUGGCACUUUCCUGCCUCAUAAUGCACAAACUCACACACACACACACACACACACACACACACACAGGAACACAGUCAUACAUACACAGGCACAUCCCUGUCUCUGCAUCUCUCUCACUUUUUCUCAGUCUUUUGGGAAAGUCACUUCCAGGAGACAUAUUUCUGUCCUCCUGUACAGACAGUGAAGAGGAGGUAAGCCUUAAUCAAAUUCAGAGUAAGAAUCAUCCGUCACAGCUUUAGACAUCCAUUCUGAAGAGGGUGGGAGGGGGGAAGAGUGGGGGAGUGUGAGAGGGAGGGGGAGAAGGAAAGUAGAAAAUGGUAGAGAGGACCAGGAGAAUAAGAGGUACAGAAAGGAAAGAGUGUCUACAAGGUUGGGGCUUGCUUUCUAAUCAAUAGCCGUCUUUUUUUUUGUGUGGAAAUCAAACAUUUAUAAAUCCUUCUCUAGAGCUAGUGUCUGUACUCAGUGGGGUUUUCCUGUUUGCUGUGCUGCCUCCAUUUACUUGUCACCAGUGGCAGGCUAGACUUAACAAGCAUCCUCAGUCUCAACAAGAGAACUACCUGCUGGGACAUCACAAGCAUCAGAGCCUUACCUGAUUGCUCUAUACUUGAAGCCAUGGAACAAGCAGAGAAUAAAACCACCUCGCCACAAAAGCAGAAUCGGUCCAAAAAUCGAUCCAAAUCGACAGAUGAGGUGCAGCAAGCGAAAAAGGCCUUUCACACACCACAGAAGUCUCUUCCAGCUAAACCAGAGACGGAGAAGUUGGAGGCGGACACCGAGGAGCUUAGCGCUUCAACCGAGGAGCUAAAAUAAUGGCAUCACUCAGACUGGGGUUACAGGAAAAUUU